UACGUAGGGUGCGAGCGUUGUCCGGAAUUAUUGGGCGUAAAGAGCUUGUAGGUGGUUUGUCGCGUCUGCUGUGAAAAUCCGAGGCUCAACCUCGGACUUGCAGUGGGUACGGGCAGACUAGAGUGUGGUAGGGGAGACUGGAAUUCCUGGUGUAGCGGUGAAAUGCGCAGAUAUCAGGAGGAACACCUAUGGCGAAGGCAGCUCGCUGGGACGGUACUGACGCUGAGACGCGAAAGCGUGGGGAGCGAACAGG
rnacentral:rRNA from 1 species